UGGGGAAUUUUGCGCAAUGGGCGAAAGCCUGACGCAGCGACGCCGCGUGAGCGAUGAAGGCCUUCGGGUUGUAAAGCUCUGUGGGGAGGGAAGAAUAAGGGCAGGCCAAUACCCUGUCUGAUGACGGUACCUCCUUAGCAAGCACCGGCUAACUCUGUGCCAGCAGCCGCGGUAAGACAGAGGGUGCAAACGUUGUUCGGAAUCACUGGGCGUAAAGCGCGUGUAGGCGGCCACGCAAGUCGGACGUGAAAGCCCUCGGCUCAACCGAGGAAGUGCAUCCGAUACUGCGCGGCUAGAGUCCUGGAGAGGAAGGUGGAAUGCUUGGUGUAGAGGUGAAAUUCGUAGAUAUCAAGCGGAACACCGGUGGCGAAGGCGGCCUUCUGGACAGUGACUGACGCUGAGACGCGAAAGCGUGGGGAGCAAACAGG
rnacentral:rRNA from 1 species